rnacentral:lncRNA from 1 species
UGUGCAUAUGGAUGAUAUUCUUGAAAGGAUUGUUUAUCCUGCGUUUCUCUUGACCUUACCCUGGCCUAGAUUACACCCGUGAGUGGGGCGGGAAUGAAUCAUUUACAGGUACUGAUGGUGACUUGUUCUAUUGGUGACUUUUGUUUGGUUCUUGAUGGUGACCGUUGGUUCUGAAGUAUGGGUUCUAAGUCGAUGACCGUGUUCCAUGGUUCCCG